AACGAACGCUGGCGGCAGGCUUAACACAUGCAAGUCGAACGGAUGUAGCAAUACAUUAGUGGCGCACGGGAGAGUAACACGUGGGAACCUACCUUUUGGUUCGGAAUAACGUCGGGAAACUGACGCUAAUACCGAAUAAGCCCUAUGGGGGGAAAGAUUUAUUGCCAAAAGAUGGGCCCCGCGCUAGAUUAGCUUGUUGGUGAGGUAACGGCUCACCAAGGCUACGAUCAGUAGCUGGUCUGAGAGGAUGAUCAGCCACACUGGGACUGAGACACGGUCCAGACUCCUACGGGUGGCAG
rnacentral:rRNA from 1 species